rnacentral:rRNA from 1 species
UACGUAGGGGGCGAGCGUUAUCCGGAUUUACUGGGUGUAAAGGGAGCGUAGACGGCGUCGCAAGUCUGAAGUGAAAGCCCGUGGCUCAACUGCGGAACCGCUUUGGAAACUGCGAGGCUGGAGUGCUGGAGAGGUAAGCGGAAUUCCUGGUGUAGCGGUGAAAUGCGUAGAUAUCAGGAGGAACACCGGUGGCGAAGGCGGCUUACUGGACAGUGACUGACGUUGAGGCUCGAAAGCGUGGGGAGCAAACAGG